ACCCGCUGAACUUAAGCAUAUCACUAAGCGGAGGAAAGGAAAAUAACAAUGAUUGCCUCAGUAGCGGCGAGCGAAGCGGCAAGAGCCCAAGUUUGAAAUCCGCUGCCCCUGGGACAGUGGAGUUGUAAACUGAAGGCGUCGCUCCGGAGCAGUUGCGUGGCCUAAGUCGUCUGGAAAGGCGCGCCAAGGAGGGUGACAGCCCCGUAGGGCUAACGUGACUGCUGGAGGAGGGCGACCUACGAGUCGGGUUGUUUGGGAUUUCAGCCCUAAGCGGGAGGUAAACUCCUUCCAAGGCUAAAGAGCGAUGGGAAACCGAUAGCGAACAAGUACUGCAAAGGAAAGAUGAAAAGAACUUUGGAAAGAGAGUUAAGAGAUUUGAAACCGUUGGGGAGGUAGGUGCCCGCAUGGGAUUUGACUCGCGCACAGUCGAGCCGCGCAAGCGGCGUAGGCCUUGUGUGGUCAAGGCGCAGCACGGGGUCGACUCGAGUGAUGCCGACUGUUCGCCCGUUCAGCUUGCUGGGCGGAGACAUGGAGGAACGCACCCGGGACGGCCCGAGGUCGGUGCUGCGGAAGCAAUGCGGUCACACCCGUCUUGAAACACGGACCAAGGAGUCUAGCAAACGUGCGAGUGCGGAGGUGCCAAACCUCAGCGCGUAAUGAAAGUAAGGGUCGCGAGCCUCUCGGCGCAGCGGCAGCCAGUCGGAGGGCACACCCUCUGACAAGAGCAAGAGCACGGUUGGUAGGACCCGAAAGAUGGUGAACUAUGCCUGAGCAGGGUGAAGUCUGAGGAAACUCAGAUGGAAGCUCGUAGCGAUACUGACGUGCAAAUCGUUCGUCUGACUUGGGUGUAGGGGCGAAAGACUGAUCGAACCAUCUAGUAGCUGGUUCCCUCCGAAGUUUCUCUCAGGAUAGCUGGGACAGCGCAGUUUUACCAGGUAAAGCGAAUGAUUAGAGGUACCGGGGCUAAUUUAGCUUCGGCCUAUUCUCAAACUCUAAAUUGGUAAGAUCCCGGCGGUUUCUUAACUGAACCGUUGGGCCGAAUGCAAGGCUGCCCCAAGUGGGCCAUCUUUGGUAAGCAGAGCUGGCGUUUCGAGCUGCAUCGAGCGCGCGGUUAAGGUGCCCAAGUGCACGCGCAUCAGACCCCACAAAAGGUGUUGAUGCAUUCAGACAGCAGGACGGUGGCCAUGGAAGUCGGAACCCGCUAAGGAGUGUGUAACAACUCACCUGCCGAAUGCAUUAGCCCUGAAAAUGGAUGGCGCUCCAGCGUGCGACCGAUACCGCGCCACUGCGGUGAGUUUUGUCCGCAGUGCGUAGGAGGGCGUGGGCGUGGUGACGAAGCCCUUGGCGUGAGCCUGGGUCGAACAGCGUCCAGCGCAGAUCUUGGUGGUAGUAGCAAAUAUUCAAAUGAGAGCUUUGAAGGCCGAAGUGGAGAAGGUUUCCAUGAGAACAGCACUUGGUCAUGGGUGACUCGGUCCUAAGGCACCGCUUGUCUGCGAGUGAGUGGGAGCUUGCUCCCCGUGCCGAAAGGGAAUGAGGUUAAUAGUCCGCAAGCUCGGAAUGUGAGUGGAGUGGCGACACAAGCGGCUCAGAGUCGACGACGUGGCCCUCUGGAAGAGUUCUCUUUUCUUUUUAACGCGGCAGUGGCCUUGGAAGUGGAUUAUCCAGCGCGAAGGCUACCGCCGCGGAAGAGUGCCUCGCCUUUGGAGGCAUCAGGUGCGUUCACGCCGUCCCUUGAAAAUCUGAGCGCGUCAUCACAUUCGAGGCCGUACCCAUAACCGCAUCAGGUCUCCAAGGUU
rnacentral:rRNA from 1 species